UGCCAGCCGCCGCGGUAAUACGGAGGGUACAAACGUUGUUCGGAAUUACUGGGCAUAAAGCGCACGUAGGCGGCCUGAUAAGUCAGUUGUGAAAGCCCUCGGCUCAACCGGGGAACUGCAAUUGAUACUGUCAGGCUCGAGGGUGGUUGGGGUGAGUGGAACUUCUGGUGGAGCGGUGAAAUGCGUAGAUAUCAGAAGGAACACCAGUGGCGAAAGCGGCUCACUGGACCAUUUCUGACGCUGAGGUGCGAAAGCUAGGGUAUCAAACGGGAUUAGAUA
rnacentral:rRNA from 1 species